rnacentral:rRNA from 1 species
GACGAACCGAGCGAACGUUGUUCGGAAUCACUGGGCUUAAAGGGCGCGUAGGCGGGCUGUCAAGUCUGGGGUGAAAUCCCACGGCUCAACCGUGGAACUGCCUCAGAUACUGACGGCCUCGAGGGAGGUAGGGGCGAGUGGAGCGGGUGGUGGAGCGGUGAAAUGCGUUGAUAUCACUCGGAACUCCGGUGGCGAAAGCGGCUCGCUGGACCUUUUCUGACGCUGAGGCGCGGAAGCUAGGGGAGCAAACGGG